UAUAGCUCAAAGGUAGAGUGAUUGUCUAGAGGGCAACAGGCUCUGGGUUCAGUCCCCAGUA
rnacentral:tRNA from 1 species